rnacentral:rRNA from 1 species
CCUACGGGUUGCACCAGUGGGGAAUAUUGCACAAUGGGCGCAAGCCUGAUGCAGCCAUGCCGCGUGUAUGAAGAAGGCCUUCGGGUUGUAAAGUACUUUCAGCGGGGAGGAAGGCGAUAAGGUUAAUAACCUUGUCGAUUGACGUUACCCGCAGAAGAAGCACCGGCUAACUCCGUGCCAGCAGCCGCGGUAAUACGGAGGGUGCAAGCGUUAAUCGGAAUUACUGGGCGUAAAGCGCACGCAGGCGGUCUGUCAAGUCGGAUGUGAAAUCCCCGGGCUCAACCUGGGAACUGCAUUCGAAACUGGCAGGCUAGAGUCUUGUAGAGGGGGGUAGAAUUCCAGGUGUAGUGGCGAAAUGCGUAGAGAUCUGGAGGAAUACCGGUGGCGAAGGCGGCCCCCUGGACAAAGACUGACGCUCAGGUGCGAAAGCGUGGGGAGCAAACAGGAUUAGAUACCCCUGUAGUC